GGACGAACGCUGGCGGCGUGCUUAACACAUGCAAGUUGAACGGUAUGACAUGGAAGCUCGCUGAAGUGUCAUAUAGUAGCGGACGGGUGAGUAAUGCAUGAGAAGCUGCCAUUGGGAGGGGGACAACAGUUGGAAACGGCUGCUAAUACCCCAUAUGCCGGAAGGUGAAAGGGAGCGAUCCGCCCGAUGAGGUGCUCAUGUCCUAUCAGCUUGUUGGUGAGGUAACGGCUCACCAAGGCGACGACGGGUAGCCGGCCUGAGAGGGUGACCGGCCACACUGGAACUGAGAUACGGUCCAGACUCCUACGGGAGGCAGCAGUGGGGAAUAUUGGGCAAUGGGGGGAACCCUGACCCAGCGACGCCGCGUGAGGGAAGACGGCCUUCGGGUUGUAAACCUCUUUUGUACGGGAAGAAGGACGUGACGGUACCGUGCGAAUAAGUCCCGGCUAACUACGUGCCAGCAGCCGCGGUAAUACGUAGGGGACGAGCGUUGUCCGGAAUUACUGGGCGUAAAGGGCGCGCAGGCUGUAGAUCAAGUCAGCUGUGAAAUGUCUGGGCUUAACCCGGGCAUGCGGUUGAAACUGAUGUACUGGAGUGCUGUAGAGGCAAGUGGAAUUCCCAGUGUAGCGGUGAAAUGCGUAGAUAUUGGGAAGAACACCGGUGGCGAAGGCGACUUGCUGGGCAGCAACUGACGCUGAGGCGCGAAAGCCAGGGGAGCAAACGGGAUUAGAUACCCCGGUAGUCCUGGCCGUAAACGAUGAAUGCUAGGUGUGUGUGUAGAGAUACAUGCGUGCCGGAGUUAACGCGAUAAGCAUUCCGCCUGGGGAGUACGGUCGCAAGAUUGAAACUCAAAGGAAUUGACGGGGGCCCGCACAAGCGGAGGAACAUGUGGUUUAAUUCGAUGAUACGCGAGGAACCUUACCCGGGCUCGAACGGUGCAUGAAUAGAUCAGAGAUGGUUUAGUCCUUCGGGACAUGUAUCGAGGUGCUGCAUGGUUGUCGUCAGCUCGUGCCGUGAGGUGUCGGCUUAAGUGCCAUAACGAGCGCAACCCUUGUCGUUAGUUGCCAUCAGGUAAUGCUGGGAACUCUAGCGAGACUGCCACCGUAAGGUGCGAGGAAGGGGGGGAUGACGUCAAAUCAGCACGGCCCUUACGUCCGGGGCGACACACGUGUUACAAUGGCAGGUACAGAGGGCAGCUACCCAGCGAUGGGGUGCGAAUCUCGAAAGCCUGUCUCAGUUCGGAUCGGAGUCUGCAACUCGACUCCGUGAAGUUGGAUUCGCUAGUAAUCGCGCAUCAGCCAUGGCGCGGUGAAUACGUUCCCGGGCCU
rnacentral:rRNA from 1 species